CAGGCUGCAACCCGCCUGCACGAAGCCGGAGUUGCUAGUAAUCGCGAAUCAGAAUGUCGCGGUGAAUGCGUCCCCGGGUCUUGUACACACCGCCCGUCACACCAUGGAAGUUGGGGGUGCCCAAAGCCGGCAAGCAAAUAUGCUGUCUAAGGCAAAACCAAUGACUGGGGUGAAGUCGUAACAAGGUACC
rnacentral:rRNA from 1 species